AUCCAGAUGACGAAUCCCAAAUAGGACGAAAUGCGCAUCCUGGAU
rfam:Trichobilharzia regenti genome assembly, scaffold: TRE_scaffold0006049